rnacentral:lncRNA from 1 species
AAUCAACAAAAAAUCCUGCAGUUCACUUUUUAUGUGGAUAGUACAUUGGAGGCAGAUAAUUUUCCCACUUCUGCCUCCUUGUCAGUUCUUUAUUCCUUUGAAUCAGAAUAUAACAGCGUCCAGUAAUGCAGCUAGCCCAUGUGUGAAAUGAAGCAAGAGUGGCAUAGUACACUCUGAGCUGUUCAGUGAAAAACAGGCAUGGACAGCCACAGGAAGGGUGGGGCUUCAGGCCACAUUAAGCAUAGAAUGUGAAAAGAAGAGAUCCUGAGGAAUAUCACCGUUAAGAGAGAAAAGGUGUCCAGAAUGGCUACGAGAAAACUUAAGAGGACGUGACAUUUUAGAAGCAGAGGAAAGAGAGCAUUUCAGAAAAAAAGAUAGAUUACAUGAAUAAGUAGGAAAAGAAGGUCUGUGGAAGAGUAACGAAAUAAUAAAAGAGAGAGAGAGGAAAGGCGGACACUGAUGAGAUGGAAUGAAGGCAUUGGACCUCAGGUCACCUGACAACGAACCCAAGG